AGAGUUUGAUCCUCGGCUCAGGACGAACGCUGGCGGCGUGCCUAAUACAUGCAAGUCGAGCGGACAGAUGGGAGCUUGCUCCCUGAUGUUAGCGGCGGACGGGUGAGUAACACGUGGGUAACCUGCCUGUAAGACUGGGAUAACUCCGGGAAACCGGGGCUAAUACCGGAUGCUUGUUUGAACCGCAUGGUUCAAACAUAAAAGGUGGCUUCGGCUACCACUUACAGAUGGACCCGCGGCGCAUUAGCUAGUUGGUGAGGUAAUGGCUCACCAAGGCAACGAUGCGUAGCCGACCUGAGAGGGUGAUCGGCCACACUGGGACUGAGACACGGCCCAGACUCCUACGGGAGGCAGCAGUAGGGAAUCUUCCGCAAUGGACGAAAGUCUGACGGAGCAACGCCGCGUGAGUGAUGAAGGUUUUCGGAUCGUAAAGCUCUGUUGUUAGGGAAGAACAAGUACCGUUCGAAUAGGGCGGUACCUUGACGGUACCUAACCAGAAAGCCACGGCUAACUACGUGCCAGCAGCCGCGGUAAUACGUAGGUGGCAAGCGUUGUCCGGAAUUAUUGGGCGUAAAGGGCUCGCAGGCGGUUUCUUAAGUCUGAUGUGAAAGCCCCCGGCUCAACCGGGGGAGGGUCAUUGGAAACUGGGGAACUUGAGUGCAGAAGAGGAGAGUGGAAUUCCACGUGUAGCGGGUGAAAUGGCGUAGAGAUGUGGGAGGGAACGCCAGUGGCGAAAGCGACUCUCUGGUCUGUAACUGACGCUGAGGGAGCGAAAGCGUGGGGAGCGAACAGGAUUAGAUACCCUGGU
rnacentral:rRNA from 1 species